rnacentral:rRNA from 1 species
CCUACGGGAGGCAGCAGUGGGGAAUAUUGCACAAUGGGGGAAACCCUGAUGCAGCGACGCCGCGUGAGUGAAGAAGUAUUUCGGUAUGUAAAGCUCUAUCAGCAGGGAAGAAAAUGACGGUACCUGACUAAGAAGCCCCGGCUAACUACGUGCCAGCAGCCGCGGUAAUACGUAGGGGGCAAGCGUUAUCCGGAUUUACUGGGUGUAAAGGGAGCGUAGACGGCCAGACAAGUCAGAAGUGAAAGCCCAGGGCCCAACCCUGGGACUGCUUUUGAAACUGCCGGGCUGGAGUGCAGGAGAGGUAAGCGGAAUUCCUAGUGUAGCGGUGAAAUGCGUAGAUAUUAGGAGGAACACCAGUGGCGAAGGCAGCUUACUAAACUGCCACUGACAUUGAUGCUCGAAAGUGUGGGUAUCAAACAGGAUUAGAUACCCCUGUAGUC